rnacentral:rRNA from 1 species
GUGAGGAAUAUUGCGCAAUGGAGGCAACUCUGACGCAGCCAUGCCGCGUGCAGGAAGAAGGCGCUACGCGUUGUAAACUGCUUUUAACCGGGAAGAAACCCCAGGACGUGUCCUGGGUUGACGGUACCGGAGGAAUAAGCACCGGCUAACUUCGUGCCAGCAGCCGCGGUAAUACGAAGGGUGCAAGCGUUAUCCGGAUUCAUUGGGUUUAAAGGGUGCGUAGGCGGCGCGUUAAGUCAGUGGUGAAAUCCUGCAGCUUAACUGUAGACUUGCCAUUGAUACUGGCGCUCUUGAGUGCGCUUGAAGUGGGCGGAAUGUGCCGUGUAGCGGUGAAAUGCUUAGAUAUGGCACAGAACACCAAUUGCGAAGGCAGCUCACUAAGGCGAUACUGACGCUGAGGCACGAAAGCGUGGGGAUCGAACAGGAUUAGAAACCCGAGUAGUCC